rnacentral:snoRNA from 1 species
AACCCAUUGUGAGAGCACCUUCUCAAUAAGUCAUUAUACCUCUCUCAUGCAUCAUAUAAAGUUUCUAAAUCCAUUUGCACGAAAGACGAGAUAUCGUUCCUCAACUU